GACGAACGCUGGCGGCGUGCUUAACACAUGCAAGUCGAACGGUAAGGCUCCAGCUUGCUGGGGUACACGAGUGGCGAACGGGUGAGUAACACGUGGGUGACCUGCCCUGCACUUCGGGAUAAGCCUGGGAAACUGGGUCUAAUACCGGAUAGGACCGCACCGUGAGGGUGUGGUGGAAAGUUUUUUCGGUGUGGGAUGGGCCCGCGGCCUAUCAGCUUGUUGGUGGGGUAAUGGCCUACCAAGGCGGCGACGGGUAGCCGGCCUGAGAGGGUGGACGGCCACAUUGGGACUGAGACACGGCCCAGACUCCUACGGGAGGCAGCAGUGGGGAAUAUUGCACAAUGGGCGGAAGCCUGAUGCAGCGACGCCGCGUGGGGGAUGACGGCCUUCGGGUUGUAAACUCCUUUCACCAUCGACGAAGGGUUUCUGACGGUAGAUGGAGAAGAAGCACCGGCUAACUACGUGCCAGCAGCCGCGGUAAUACGUAGGGUGCGAGCGUUGUCCGGAAUUACUGGGCGUAAAGAGCUCGUAGGUGGUUUGUCGCGUCGUCUGUGAAAUUCCGGGGCUUAACUCCGGGCGUGCAGGCGAUACGGGCAUAACUUGAGUACUGUAGGGGAGACUGGAAUUCCUGGUGUAGCGGUGAAAUGCGCAGAUAUCAGGAGGAACACCGGUGGCGAAGGCGGGUCUCUGGGCGGUAACUGACGCUGAGGAGCGAAAGCAUGGGGAGCGAACAGGAUUAGAUACCCUGGUAGUCCAUGCCGUAAACGGUGGGCGCUAGGUGUGGGUUUCCUUCCACGGGAUCCGUGCCGUAGCUAACGCAUUAAGCGCCCCGCCUGGGGAGUACGGCCGCAAGGCUAAAACUCAAAGGAAUUGACGGGGGCCCGCACAAGCGGCGGAGCAUGUGGAUUAAUUCGAUGCAACGCGAAGAACCUUACCUGGGCUUGACAUAUACAGGAUCGCGCCAGAGAUGGUGUUUCCCUUGUGGCUUGUAUACAGGUGGUGCAUGGUUGUCGUCAGCUCGUGUCGUGAGAUGUUGGGUUAAGUCCCGCAACGAGCGCAACCCUUGUCUUAUGUUGCCAGCACGUUGUGGUGGGGACUCGUAAGAAACUGCCGGGGUUAACUCGGAGGAAGGUGGGGAUGACGUCAAAUCAUCAUGCCCCUUAUGUCCAGGGCUUCACACAUGCUACAAUGGUCGGUACAGUGGGUUGCCAGUCCGUGAGGGCGAGCUAAUCCCGCAAAGCCGGUCUCAGUUCGGAUCGGGGUCUGCAACUCGACCCCGUGAAGUCGGAGUCGCUAGUAAUCGCAGAUCAGCAACGCUGCGGUGAAUACGUUCCCGGGCCU
rnacentral:rRNA from 1 species